CUGAGUUUGCCUCUUCCAGCACCUCUUUCGCUGUUUUCUGCCGAUCCAGAAGAGCAAGAGUUGUGUAGCUGGACAAAUCUGUUGGCCCAGGACCGGCACCAGACACAAGAUGAUUAAGGAAGAUAAUGAUGAAUGAAGGACUCACAGGAGGCGAUUCUUCUCUGUAGAUACCAAACAGCCCCAGAAGAAAAGAUGAACAGAUGCCAGCAUUUAGAGGUCCACCUGGGGAUGAAAUCAGCUUGAAGUCUCCUCACACUGAAGCUUUCUGGAUACCAAUCUUUUCUGUACCUGGUGUUUUUGCAGUAUCUUUGAAAGCCACUGCUGCAGGACCAACAGAUGGCAUAAUGGUUACAUCUCUGGACGCCCACAUGGUUGACCGUAGUUCA